UACGGAGGGGGCUAGCGUUGUUCGGAAUUACUGGGCGUAAAGCGCACGUAGGCGGCUUUGUAAGUUAGAGGUGAAAGCCCGGGGCUCAACUCCGGAAUUGCCUUUAAGACUGCAUCGCUAGAAUUGUGGAGAGGUAAGUGGAAUUCCGAGUGUAGAGGUGAAAUUCGUAGAUAUUCGGAAGAACACCAGUGGCGAAGGCGACUCACUGGACACGUAUUGACGCUGAGGUGCGAAAGCGUGGGGAGCAAAGCAGG
rnacentral:rRNA from 1 species